rnacentral:rRNA from 1 species
GGGGAAUAUUGCGCAAUGGGGGAAACCCUGACGCAGCGCCGCCGUGUAAGGGAAGAAGGCUUUGGGGUCGUAAACCCCGUCCGGGAAGGAAGAACCCCCCAGGUCGGAAAAGGGCCUGGGGCUGAGGGUCCUUCAAAAGAAACCACCGGCAAACUCCGUCCCAGCAGCCGCGGUAAUACGGAGGGUGCAAGCGUUAAUCGGAAUCACUGGGCGUAAAGCGCGCGUAGGCGGCUUUUUAAGUCGGACGUGAAAGCCCUCGGCUCAACCGGGGAAUUGCGUUCGAAACUGGGAGGCUUGAGUCCUGGAGAGGGUGGCGGAAUUCCGGGUGUAGGAGUGAAAUCCGUAGAUAUCCGGAGGAACACCGGUGGCGAAGGCGGCCACCUGGACAGGUACUGACGCUGAGGCGCGAAAGCGUGGGGAGCAAACA